CCUGGUGACUGGAGCGGCGGGGAAACACCCGGUCCCAUCCCGAACCCGGAAGUUAAGCCCGCCAGCGCCGAUGGUACUGGGGGGGGCGACCCCCUGGGAGAGUAGGCCGUUGCCAGGG
rnacentral:rRNA from 2 species